GAAAUGCGAUAAGUAAUGUGAAUUGCAGAAUUCAGUGAAUCAUCGAAUCUUUGAACGCACCUUGCGCUCCUUGGUAUUCCGAGGAGCAUGCCUGUUUCAGUGUCAUGGAAUUCUCAACUCUAUUUGCUUUUGUGAAUAGAGCUUGGAUUUGGAGGUUUAUUGCUGGUACUUGUGAUCGGCUCCUCUUGAAUGCAUUAGCUCGAACCUUUGCGGAUCAGCUAUCGGUGUGAUAAUUGUCUACGCCGUUGCAGUUAAGCAUAUCAAUGGGCUCGGCUUCCAAUCGUCCUUUACUGGACAAUGACUUUGACCUUUGACCUCAAAUCAGGUAGGAUUACCCGCUGAACUUAAGC
rnacentral:misc_RNA from 1 species